rnacentral:rRNA from 1 species
AGUGAACGCUGGCGGUAGGCCUAACACAUGCAAGUCGAACGGCAGCACAGUAAGAGCUUGCUCUUACGGGUGGCGAGUGGCGGACGGGUGAGGAAUACAUCGGAAUCUACUUUUUCGUGGGGGAUAACGUAGGGAAACUUACGCUAAUACCGCAUACGACCUACGGGUGAAAGCAGGGGAUCUUCGGACCUUGCGCGAUUGAAUGAGCCGAUGUCGGAUUAGCUAGUUGGCGGGGUAAAGGCCCACCAAGGCGACGAUCCGUAGCUGGUCUGAGAGGAUGAUCAGCCACACUGGUACUGAGACACGGUCCAGACUCCUACGGGAGGCAGCAGUGGGGAAUAUUGGACAAUGGGCGCAAGCCUGAUCCAGCCAUACCGCGUGGGUGAAGAAGGCCUUCGGGUUGUAAAGCCCUUUUGUUGGGAAAGAAAAGCAGCAGGUUAAUACCCCGCUGUUCUGACGGUACCCAAAGAAUAAGCACCGGCUAACUUCGUG